GAUGAACGCUGGCGGCGUGCCUAAUACAUGCAAGUCGAGCGAACGGACGAGAAGCUUGCUUCUCUGAUGUUAGCGGCGGACGGGUGAGUAACACGUGGAUAACCUACCUAUAAGACUGGGAUAACUUCGGGAAACCGGAGCUAAUACCGGAUAAUAUUUUGAACCGCAUGGUUCAAAAGUAAAAGACGGUCUUGCUGUCACUUAUAGAUGGAUCCGCGCUGCAUUAGCUAGUUGGUAAGGUAACGGCUUACCAAGGCAACGAUGCAUAGCCGACCUGAGAGGGUGAUCGGCCACACUGGAACUGAGACACGGUCCAGACUCCUACGGGAGGCAGCAGUAGGGAAUCUUCCGCAAUGGGCGAAAGCCUGACGGAGCAACGCCGCGUGAGUGAUGAAGGUCUUCGGAUCGUAAAACUCUGUUAUUAGGGAAGAACAUAUGUGUAAGUAACUGUGCACAUCUUGACGGUACCUAAUCAGAAAGCCACGGCUAACUACGCG
rnacentral:rRNA from 1 species